rnacentral:rRNA from 1 species
UGGGGAAUUUUGGACAAUGGGCGCAAGCCUGAUCCAGCCAUGCCGCGUGCGGGAAGAAGGCCUUCGGGUUGUAAACCGCUUUUGUCAGGGAAGAAAUCUUCUGAGUUAAUACCUCGGGAGGAUGACGGUACCUGAAGAAUAAGCACCGGCUAACUACGUGCCAGCAGCCGCGGUAAUACGUAGGGUGCAAGCGUUAAUCGGAAUUACUGGGCGUAAAGCGUGCGCAGGCGGUUUUGUAAGACAGAGGUGAAAUCCCCGGGCUCAACCUGGAACUGCCUUUGUGACUGCAAGGCUUGAGUGCGGCAGAGGGGGAUGGAAUUCCGCGUGUAGCAGUGAAAUGCGUAGAUAUGCGGAGGAACACCGAUGGCGAAGGCAAUCCCCUGGGCCUGCACUGACGCUCAUGCACGAAAGCGUGGGGAGCAAACAGGAUUAGAUACCCUGGUAGUCCACGCCCUAAACGAUGUCAACUGGUUGUUGGGAAGGUUCCUUCUCAGUAACGUAGCUAACGCGUGAAGUUGNCCGCCUGGGGAGUACGGCCGCAAGGUUGAAACUCAAAUGAAUUGACGGGGUCAUAGCUGUUU